rnacentral:rRNA from 1 species
GGACUACCAGGGUAUCUAAUCCUGUUUGCUCCCCACGCUUUCGUGCCUCAGCGUCAGUUACAGUCCAGAGAGCCGCCUUCGCAACUGGUAUUCCUCCUAAUAUCUACGCAUUUCACCGCUACACUAGGAAUUCUACUCUCCUCUCCUGCACUCAAGUCUUACAGUUUCAAGAGCUUACUACGGUUGAGCCGUAGCCUUUCACUCCUGACUUGAAAGACCGCCUACGCACCCUUUACGCCCAGUAAUUCCGGAUAACGCUAGCCCCCUACGUAUUACCGCGGCUGCUGGCACGUAGUUAGCCGGGGCUUCCUCCUCAAGUACCGUCAUUAUCUUCCCUUGAGGACAGAGCUUUACGACCCGAAGGCCUUCAUCGCUCACGCGGCGUUGCUGCAUCAGGCUUUCGCCCAUUGUGCAAUAUUCCCCACUGCUGCCUCCCGUAGGAGUUUGGACCGUGUCUCAGUUCCAAUGUGGCCGAUCAACCCUCUCAGGUCGGCUACUGAUCGUCGCCUUGGUAAGCCAUUACCUUACCAACUAGCUAAUCAGACGCGGGUCCAUCCUGUACCGCAAAAGCUUUGAUAAGAAAGCCAUGCGACUUUCUCAUGUUAUCUCGUAUUAGCAUACCUUUCGGUAUGUUAUCCGUGUGUACAGGGCAGGUUACCCACGCGUUACUCACCCGUCCGCCGCUCUUUACCGAAGUAAAUCGCUCGACUUGCAUGUGUUAGGCACGCCGCCAGCGUUCAUCCUGAGCCAGGAUCAAACUCUCCAA